GUGAACCGCCUCGGCGGAGCUGUAAGAUGGCGGCUGGGCGGAGGCCGGCUUCGGCCCUGUGGCCGGAAAGGCGAGGCUCCCCGUUGAGGGGGGAUUUGCUGGGGUUCCAGAAUGUGCGUGAGCCAAGCAGCUGUGGGGAAACGUUGUCUGGAAUGAGACACUCAAAGAGAACUUACUGUCCUGAUUGGGAUGACAAGGAUUGGGAUUAUGGAAAAUGGAGGAGCAGCAGCAGUCAUAAAAGAAGGAAGAGAUCACAUAGCAGUGCCCAGGAGAACAAGCGCUGCAAAUACAAUCACUCUAAAAUGUGUGAUAGCCAUUAUUUGGAAAGCAGGUCUAUAAAUGAGAAAGAUUAUCAUAGUCGACGCUACAUUGAUGAGUACAGAAAUGACUACACUCAAGGAUGUGAACCUGGACAUCGCCAAAGAGACCAUGAAAGCCGGUAUCAGAACCAUAGUAGCAAGUCUUCUGGUAGAAGUGGAAGAAGUAGUUAUAAAAGCAAACACAGGAUUCACCACAGUACUUCACAUCGUCGUUCACAUGGGGUAUGAACGUUUUUAAAACAUUUUGGAAAUUUUAUAUCCCAUGUGGAACAGGGAAACUUGAAUUUUUGUGUUUGAUUAUUUGAGAAAGUUUUAAGAUGAAAUCAUCUCAGUUUUAACCUGCAGGAUUUUUUCUGUGUUUGUGCAUUGG
rnacentral:lncRNA from 1 species